rnacentral:rRNA from 1 species
GAGUUUGAUCAUGGUUCAGGACGAACGCUGGCGGCGUGCCUAAUACAUGCAAGUCGAACGCGUCUCCGUUAAUGAUUUUAGGUGCUUGCAUUUGAAAGAUUUAACAUUGAGACGAGUGGCGAACUGGUGAGUAACACGUGGGUAACCUGCCCUUGAAGUAGGGGAUAACACUUGGAAACAGGUGCUAAUACCGUAUAACAACCAAAACCACCUGGUUUUGGUUUAAAAGACGGCUUCGGCUGUCACUUUAGGAUGGACCCGCGGCGUAUUAGCUUGUUGGUAAGGUAACGGCCUACCAAGGCGAUGAUACGUAGCCGACCUGAGAGGGUAAUCGGCCACAUUGGGACUGAGACACGGCCCAAACUCCUACGGGAGGCAGCAGUAGGGAAUCUUCCACAAUGGACGAAAGUCUGAUGGAGCAACGCCGCGUGAGUGAUGAAGGGUUUCGGCUCGUAA